CCAAAUCGACCCUCCUUCCCCCAUCUUGCCUCCUUCCCCCAUCGAGCCGCCAUCCCCCAUCCAUCUAACAUCCCCCAUCCAGCCUACAUCCCCCAGCCAUCCUACAUCCCCCAUCCAGCCUACAUCCCCCAGCCAGCCAACAUCUCCACCAUCGGAAUGGGCAGCAGAGGCCCCGGAGCCACUUGAGGGAGGUGGGCAAGUGGCAGAGGAGAAUGUGGCAGUUGGAGAUCCCAGCAGUUUGCCUGCGAUUGUUUCCCGCCUUAAAGGGAAUCUGAGGGCCGUGAUAGCGGACCUAGAAAUGUUGGAAACCUUUUUCUAAGUUUUUAUUUUUUAUUUUUUACAUUAGUUGUUUAAAAAAAUAAAAAUAAAUACAAUUGUUUUUGAAAUUAA